GACGGGUGAGUAAUGCCUGGGAAUAUGCCUUGAUGUGGGGGAUAACUAUUGGAAACGAUAGCUAAUACCGCAUAAUGCCUACGGGCCAAAGAGGGGGAUCUUCGGACCUCUCGCGUCAAGAUUAGCCCAGGUGGGAUUAGCUAGUUGGUGGGGUAAUGGCUCACCAAGGCGACGAUCCCUAGCUGGUUUGAGAGGAUGAUCAGCCACACUGGAACUGAGACACGGUCCAGACUCCUACGGGAGGCAGCAGUGGGGAAUAUUGCACAAUGGGGGAAACCCUGAUGCAGCCAUGCCGCGUGUAUGAAGAAGGCCUUCGGGUUGUAAAGUACUUUCAGUUGUGAGGAAGGCGGUAGCGUUAAUAGCGUUGCCGUUUGACGUUAGCAACAGAAGAAGCACCGGCUAACUCCGUGCCAGCAGCCGCGGUAAUACG
rnacentral:rRNA from 1 species